GCUAUACUGCAGUCGAACGCACUCUCGUUUAGAUUGAAGGAGCUUGCUCCUGAUUGAUAAACAUUUGAGUGAGUGGCGGACGGGUGAGUAACACGUGGGUAACCUGCCCUAAAGUGGGGGAUAACAUUUGGAAACAGAUGCUAAUACCGCAUAAAACCUAACACCGCAUGGUGUAGGGUUGAAAGAUGGUUUCGGCUAUCACUUUAGGAUGGACCCGCGGUGCAUUAGUUAGUUGGUGAGGUAAAGGCUCACCAAGACCGUGAUGCAUAGCCGACCUGAGAGGGUAAUCGGCCACACUGGGACUGAGACACGGCCCAGACUCCUACGGGAGGCAGCAGUAGGGAAUCUUCCACAAUGGACGAAAGUCUGAUGGAGCAACGCCGCGUGAGUGAAGAAGGUUUUCGGAUCGUAAAACUCUGUUGUUGGAGAAGAAUGUAUCUGAUAGUAACUGAUCAGGUAGUGACGGUAUCCAACCAGAAAGCCACGGCUAACUACGUGCCAGCAGCCGCGGUAAUACGUAGGUGGCAAGCGUUGUCCGGAUUUAUUGGGCGUAAAGCGAGCGCAGGCGGUUUCUUAAGUCUGAUGUGAAAGCCUUCGGCUCAACCGAAGAAGUGCAUCGGAAACUGGGAAACUUGAGUGCAGAAGAGGACAGUGGAACUCCAUGUGUAGCGGUGAAAUGCGUAGAUAUAUGGAAGAACACCAGUGGCGAAGGCGGCUGUCUGGUCUGUAACUGACGCUGAGGCUCGAAAGCAUGGGUAGCAAACAGGAUUAGAUACCCUGGUAGUCCAUGCCGUAAACGAUGAGUGCUAGGUGUUGGAGGGUUUCCGCCCUUCAGUGCCGCAGCUAACGCAUUAAGCACUCCGCCUGGGGAGUACGACCGCAAGGUUGAAACUCAAAGGAAUUGACGGGGGCCCGCACAAGCGG
rnacentral:rRNA from 2 species